CCUACGGGAGGCUGCAGUGGGGAAUAUUGGGCAAUGGGCGCAAGCCUGACCCAGCAACGCUGCGUGAAGGAAGAAGGCUUUCGGGUUGUAAACUUCUUUUGUCAGGGAAGAGUAGAAGACGGUACCUGACGAAUAAGCCAUGGCUAACUACGUGCCAGCAGCCGCGGUAAUACGGAGGUGGCAAGCGUUGUCCGGAUUUACUGGGUGUAAAGGGCGUGUAGCCGGGUUGACAAGUCAGAUGUGAAAUCCUGCGGCUUAACCGCAGAACUGCAUUUGAAACUGUGGAUCUUGAGUACUGUGGAGGCAGACGGAAUUCCGAGUGUAGCGGUGAAAUGCGUAGAUAUUAGGAGGAACACCAGUGGCGAAGGCGGUCUGCUGGACAGCAACUGACGGUGAGGCGCGAAAGCGUGGGGAGCAAACAGGAUUAGAUACCCGAGUAGUC
rnacentral:rRNA from 1 species